rnacentral:lncRNA from 1 species
AAAGGUCAUAGUGUUGUAACCAUAAUUAAAAGGUAAGGGAACAUAAGGAGAGAAAUGCAAAUUAACAUCAAAACAAUAGUUGGUAUACCUUUCAAGUAGUUGCUUUAUAUCUCUAUUAUCAGUGGAAGGAUCAAGCAUCUCCUGGUACCUUUCCUGCCUGAGACCUUCCCAAUCACUUCGUGGCCGAGCAAUAUCACUUACCCAGUCAUAAUAGGUUUCUUCUAGCUGCUGGUAACUUGAUUGAUCUUCUUCACAUUCGCUCUGUGCUUCAGGAAGAUUAGUA